rnacentral:rRNA from 1 species
CAUAACGUCGCAAGACCAAAGAGGGGGACCUUCGGGCCUCUUGCCAUCGGAUGUGCCCAGAUGGGAUUAGCUAGUAGGUGGGGUAACGGCUCACCUAGGCGACGAUCCCUAGCUGGUCUGAGAGGAUGACCAGCCACACUGGAACUGAGACACGGUCCAGACUCCUACGGGAGGCAGCAGUGGGGAAUAUUGCACAAUGGGCGCAAGCCUGAUGCAGCCAUGCCGCGUGUAUGAAGAAGGCCUUCGGGUUGUAAAGUACUUUCAGCGGGGAGGAAGGGAGUAAAGUUAAUACCUUUACUCAUUGACGUUACCCGCAGAAGAAGCACCGGCUAACUCCGUGCCAGCAGCCGCGGUAAUACGGAGGGUGCAAGCGUUAAUCGGAAUUACUGGGCGUAAAGCGCACGCAGGCGGUUUGUUAAGUCAGAUGUGAAAUCCCCGGGCUCAACCUGGGAACUGCAUCUGAUACUGGCAAGCUUGAGUCUCGUAGAGGGGGGUAGAAUUCCAGGUGUAGCGGUGAAAUGCGUAGAGAUCUGGAGGAAUACCGGUGGCGAAGGCGGCCCCCUGGACGAAGACUGACGCUCAGGUG